rnacentral:rRNA from 1 species
GUUAGCAUCAUAGAUCUUACAUUCUGCCUGAGCGGCGAACUGGUGAGUAACACGUGGGAAACCUGCCCAGAAGCGGGGGAUAACACCUGGAAACAGAUGCUAAUACCGCAUAACAACUUGGACCGCAAGGUCCGAGUUUGAAAGAUGGCUUCGGCUAUCACUUUUGGAUGGUCCCGCGGCGUAUUAGCUAGAUGGUGAGGUAACGGCUCACCAUGGCAAUGAUACGUAGCCCACCUGAGAGGGUAAUCGGCCACAUUGGGACUGAGACACGGCCCAAACUCCUACGGGAGGCAGCAGUAGGGAAUCUUCCACAAUGGACGAAAGUCUGAUGGAGCAACGCCGCGUGAGUGAAGAAGGGUUUCGGCUCGUAAAACUCUGUUGUUAAAGAAGAACAUAUCUGAGAGUAACUGUUCAGGUAUUGACGGUAUUUAACCAGAAAGCCACGGCUAACUACCUGCCAGCAGCCGCGGUAAUACGUAGGUGGCAAGCGUUGUCCGGAUUUAUUGGGCGUAAAGCGACCGCUGGCGGUUUUUUAAGUCUGAUGUGAAAGCCUUCGGCUCAACCGAAGAAGUGCAUCGGAAACUGGGAAACUUGAGUGCAGAAGAGGACAGUGGAACUCCAUGUGUAGCGGUGAAAUGCGUAGAUAUAUGGAAGAACACCAGUGGCGAAGGCGGCUGUCUGGUCUGUAACUGACGCUGAGGCUCGAAAGUAUGGGUAGCAAACAGGAUUAGAUACCCUGGUAGUCCAUACCGUAACGAUGAAUGCUAAGUGUUGGAGGGUUUCCCGCCCUUCAGUGCUGCAGCUAACGCAUUAAGAUUUCCGCCUCGGGGAGUACGGCCUCAGGCUAAACCUCCAAAGGAAUUGACGGUGUCCCGCCAAU